GGUUAAGUUAGAAAGGGCGCACGGUGAAUGCCUUGGCACUAGGAGCCGAUGAAGGACGGGACUAACACCGAUAUGCUUCGGGGAGCUGUAAGUGAGCUUUGAUCCGGAGAUUUCCGAAUGGGGAAACCCACUGUUCGUAAUGGAACAGUAUCUUUAUCUGAAUACAUAGGAUAUUGAAGGCAGACCCGGGGAACUGAAACAUCUAAGUACCCGGAGGAAGAGAAAGCAAAUGCGAUUUCCUGAGUAGCGGCGAGCGAAACGGAAUUAGCCCAAACCAAGAGGCUUGCCUCUUGGGGUUGUAGGACACUCUAUACGGAGUUACAAAGGAACGAAGUAAAUGAAGCGACCUGGAAAGGUCCGUCGAAGAAGGUAACAACCCUGUAGUUGAAACUUCGUUCCCUCUUGAGUGGAUCCUGAGUACGGCGGAACACGUGAAAUUCCGUCGGAAGCUGGGAGGACCAUCUCCCAAGGCUAAAUACUACCUAGUGACCGAUAGUGAACCAGUACCGUGAGGGAAAGGUGAAAAGCACCCCGGAAGGGGAGUGAAAGAGAUCCUGAAACCGUGUGCCUACAAGUAGUCAGAGCCCGUUAACGGGUGAUGGCGUGCCUUUUGUAGAAUGAACCGGCGAGUUACGAUCCCAUGCAAGGUUAAGCUGAUAAGGCGGAGCCGUAGCGAAAGCGAGUCUGAAUAGGGCGUUUAGUAUGUGGUUGUAGACCCGAAACCAGGUGAUCUACCCAUGUCCAGGGUGAAGUUCAGGUAACACUGAAUGGAGGCCCGAACCCACGCACGUUGAAAAGUGCGGGGAUGAGGUGUGGGUAGCGGAGAAAUUCCAAUCGAACCUGGAGAUAGCUGGUUCUCUCCGAAAUAGCUUUAGGGCUAGCCUCAUGUUGUAAGAGUCUUGGAGGUAGAGCACUGAUUGGACUAGGGGCCCCCAACGGGUUACCGAAUUCAGUCAAACUCCGAAUGCCAAAGACUUAUCCAUGGGAGUCAGACUGCGAGUGAUAAGAUCCGUAGUCAAAAGGGAAACAGCCCAGACCACCAGCUAAGGUCCCCAAGUAUACGUUAAGUGGAAAAGGAUGUGGAGUUGCUUAGACAACCAGGAUGUUGGCUUAGAAGCAGCCACCAUUUAAAGAGUGCGUAAUAGCUCACUGGUCGAGUGACUCUGCGCCGAAAAUGUACCGGGGCUAAACGUAUCACCGAAGCUGUGGAUUGACAUCUUAGAUGUCAGUGGUAGGAGAGCGUUCUAAGUGC
rnacentral:rRNA from 1 species